rnacentral:rRNA from 1 species
UACAGAGGUCUCAACCGUUGUUCGGAUUCAUUGGGCGUAAAGGGUGCGUAGGCGGCGGGGUAAGUCAGGUGUGAAAUCUCGGGGCUCAACCCCGAAACUGCACUUGAUACUGCUUCGCUUGAGUACUGGAGAGGAGACUGGAAUUUACGGUGUAGCAGUGAAAUGCGUAGAUAUCAAGUGGAACACCAGUGGCGAAGGCGAGUCCCUGGACAACACGUGACACUGAGGCACGAAAGCUAGGGGAGCAAACAGG